CCAAUUCUUUCUUUUCUUCUACACACAAGAAUUAGAAACAUAGAAGUGAGGUUUCUACUGAGAAUAUAUUAGAAAGGCUUAGAUGCAUCUUUCAUCACCUGCUACACCUCCGUUCUGAAGCUUUGUCCUCUUUCAAUUGCAGGAUGGCAAGAAAGGGAACGUUGUAGCAUAUAAACCAUGGGUAAUGGGCAGGAUAAAAUCUUUAUGGGGUGAUGACAGAGAGGAUUUCCAUCCUGAGAGAUGGUUUGAUGAAAAUGAUUGUUUUCGGCAAGAAACUCCCUUUGAGUACACAGCCUUUCAGUCCCCCAUGUUUGAAAUAUUGGAGCACUUUUAAUCUCCUUCACAAGUUGUUCUUCAUCAGCAGGUAUUUUUGUUCAU